rnacentral:misc_RNA from 1 species
UUUCCGUAGGUGAACCUGCGGAAGGAUCAUUAUCGAUUUUUGACUGGGUUGUAGCUGAACUUCCGAGGCAUGUGACCGCCCUUCUCAUCCUCUCUAAUCCUGUGCACUUGCUGUGGGUAUCAGAUCGUGAAGCGUGCUCUUUUACCGAGGCUUGUGAUGUAUGUAUGUGCCUAAGUUUAUCACAAACACUAUACAGUAUCAGAAUGAGUAUUACGAUGUAACGCAUCUAUAUACAACUUUCAGCAACGGAUCUCUUGGCUCUC